AGGGUUAUAGGUUAAUAAAACCAUUGGCCUUCAAAGCCGAAAAUGAGAUUUUCUGACCCGG
rnacentral:tRNA from 1 species